UAAUUGAAAUAUUGUUUUAAAUAAAAUAAAAAUUACAACCCUUCUUCUUUAAUAUGUUUUGAAUAUGUUAGUUUAUUUUAACUAAACAAUAUGUCACUACUACAAAAUGCAGAAUUCGCGACAGUCCCAAAAACGCUUUUUUUUUGGGACCGUCGCUAAAAAAAUUAACUGAUUGUUGAAAACCGUCGCCUAUACUAUAUUAUAGGCGACAGUUUUUAACACUAGUAUAGAUUAGGCGACGGUUUAAAAGUGUAGAAAAAAAUUUUAAAAAAAAAGUUAUAAAACUAUGCCCCACGGUUCUAAACCGUCGCAAAUACGGCUAAAAAAUGAAAACUCUCGCGCCUCUCACCAUAAGACAGACAUCAAACCCUCGCAUCUCACUCACUCCCUGUCUCUCACUCCCUCGAUCUCACUCAGUCACUCACUCGGGUCUUUCUCUAUCACCGGCGGUGCACCUCCGCCACUACCGGCGACGCCUGCUGACCCUAUUCGUUCACAAUCACAAUGCCCACCUCUCGUGAGUCAUGUAUCGCACCUGACCUUUGAUAGCGCCAGAAGGGUUUCUGGGUUUGCCCACUGAACUCGAGCUAGAAGUCCCAAGAAACGUCCCUAGCACCAGGGUAAGAGCAACCCGUAUUUAAAUGAUGAGAUGAAUCUUCUCCGUGAUCAAUGGAUUGAAUGCGUCUAAACACAAACGGUGCAACAAGGGCUAUUAUGAUGAUCAAAUUUUUUUUUGUUUAUACUUUACACUACAAUCAAAUACUUUUAUAUAACUAACAAUUAUGUAAGUUAGAGUAAGUUGUUUGCAUAUAUUUCAGUUUCUGUUCAUUUUUAAUUUAUAUUUAUACUUUACCUUAACUAAUUAGUGAUAUUAUAUAAAUUCAUAAAAAUUAAUUAAUGCAUGGAAAAAAGAGUAGAAUUAUUUAUUUUUUU